AUUGAACGCUGGCGGCAGGCCUAACACAUGCAAGUCGAACGGUAGCACAGAGAGCUUGCUCUCGGGUGACGAGUGGCGGACGGGUGAGUAAUGUCUGGGAAACUGCCUGAUGGAGGGGGAUAACUACUGGAAACGGUAGCUAAUACCGCAUAACGUCGCAAGACCAAAGAGGGGGACCUUCGGGCCUCUUGCCAUCGGAUGUGCCCAGAUGGGAUUAGCUUGUUGGUGAGGUAAAGGCUCACCAAGGAGACGAUCCCUAGCUGGUCUGAGAGGAUGACCAGCCACACUGGAACUGAGACACGGUCCAGACUCCUACGGGAGGCAGCAGUGGGGAAUAUUGCACAAUGGGCGCAAGCCUGAUGCAGCCAUGCCGCGUGUGUGAAGAAGGCCUUCGGGUUGUAAAGCACUUUCAGCGGGGAGGAAGGCGGUGAGUUUAAGAGCUAAUUAAUUGGACGUUACCCACAGAAGAAGCACCGGCUAACUCCGUGCCAGCCGCCGCCGUAA
rnacentral:rRNA from 1 species